CUCUUCCUGCUCGGCGGGGUCGCGGCGGCCCCCGCUCUAGAGAGCGUGCGCCAGGGGGAAACGCAGGAGCCACGGGUGUGGCACAGAACGGAGCCCAGGGCCACAGCUGAGAGUCUUAGGAAACCCGGGAACCUGGAUGCAGGUGCGGUGGCUGGGAAGGACUGCGCCCUUUGGGAACCGUCUGGUCGACCGCGCCUUCUCUAAGCCAGCAGCACAGUUCCCACGUUUUCCUGCGGUCUUGUCAACAAAACUGCUGUUUGAGAUCUGUUUCCUACAACUAAUAAGGGAUUUGCAUUUCCAUUUCUUCGUUCUCACUGAAGCAACCGAAGCAAGUGGUAUAAUGCAGCUUUUCUACUUGAUUAAAAACCGCCAGGGCGUGAGCCACUGCACCCGGCCCCUUGUGUUAUUUUGAGGCUGGUUUAUUUGUUUCACCCAAAUACCAGCUAAAUCACAUCUCAAGACUAGGCUCCUCUGCCCACAUGGAGCUUCCACUUCUGCUGCCUUCCUUGAGUAUCUUGGCUUGAUAGUAAAGACAGAAUGGUUCUUUUCAAAGUAGUUACUCCAUAAAUGUUGGUUAGAAUGAAUGGUUCUCUCAGACAAAUUU
rnacentral:lncRNA from 1 species